rnacentral:sRNA from 1 species
CCCCUCAAUGCCUCCCUGCCACCGUGGUAACCGGACCAGUGUAGGUCUUCCGACCUUGCACAUAGUACAUUACCAGACUAAUAGCAACCACCCCGCUGAAUAUGACUAUGCUCCAAUUGAAAUUGUCCACAGUGACAUGUCGAUCUCCAGGCCAGAAUGACCAGAACAGGGCGAACAGAACAUAUGCAAGACCAAGACCAUUAACAAUCGGACCAAUUACGGGUCCCAAGCUCCAGCGCGCAUCAGGCAGCAGCUCGGGGCGUGUGAGACGGAGGCAGAGCACACAGCUAAUUGAGACAGCGUAUGUCGCCAUGAGCGCAGCAACAUUGAGUGAUAUAAUGGCGUGGAAUGCGGCGCUUGAUCCCAGAUUGAUGAGCGAAAGAAGUACGCUGAUCAGACAGGAGACAAAUAUGGCGUUGGCCGGGAUGUGUUUCGUUGGAUGGACGUCAGAUAGCCAGCGGGAAAACGGCAGGCCUUUGUCGCGAGCGAAAGAGAACGUUUGCCGGGAUGUGGAAGCAUUAAAUGAGACAUUGCUUGCAAUUACUAAUACAAGGAUGACAAUGGAUUCCAUUCGCGACGUAUCCCCAAGCAAUCGCGUUCGGUACAUUCCUCCCAGCGUCCUUGACUUCUUCAGCCAUGUGUGCGGUUGCAUCAACGCCUUUGCAGUGAAAUCAUGUUAGCUCAAUUUCUCCAGAGAUUGUACACCUGCAAAUGGGGAGAAGACAUAGGGACAACACACUCAGGCCACCGUAGAUGGCUGAAAUCUGCCCGACCAUGACGCUGACUCCUAUACUUGGCCAGCUUCCACCAUUUCGAAAUUCCGUAAAUACCGCCCUAGCAGAUUGAUGGGGAGCCAUGACCCAUAACACGACCACGACCGCAAGGAAGCCGAAGAUAUGGACAACAAGAAGCAUAUUCUGGAUCAUGGGCAGGCCUUGAGCCACCCAUAUGUUGAAGAAAAAUAUCAGAGCCACCAUUGCAAAGACAAGCCUUCAAUGAUGUUCCCCGUGAGAAACGAUCCAGAUGCUGCACCAGCUUGCCAUGCUAGUACCGACAACCAUCCUGCCAAUCAAAAUAAAUUAGCAUCAAUUACGUUACCAUUAUGGCGGAGUUCAUCACUCUCCUCACUAACCAGUGACAUAACUCAGGAACUUUUGAUGUUUCUCUGAUGCAAAUUCAGACACCCAAUGGUAUUGUCCCCCAGAAAUUGGCGCCCUGUAGGACGGAUAGAAAAAUGAAUAUUAGCAGCUCCCUCUCGUUAGACAGAAAAACACAACCCACACACUGGCAUAUUUGGAGAAUUACAUAGAGGCCAUUUCCGCAAGCGAGAAGAUCACGAAACCAAAACCAACGAAUGUCCAGAUAUAUGACCAAAAUAGUCCGGCGAGGCCACCAUUCGUAAGCCCUUCAGUGUUAGAUCUUGCAAAAUUCCAAUUGAUAUUAGCCCCAAUCCAUGAGUUUGGUUCCCGGCAUACAACUACCGGAAUACAUAUAUAUAUAUAUAUAUAUAUAUAUAUAUACAUAUGUAUUUGGUUGGCUCACAUCAACAUGAACUCCCAGGUCGCUUGCAGGAUAAGGGCAAAGCUCAGGGCGGAAAGCGGACGAUAGUUCCUCUGCCUCCCAUCAGUCAGUCAAGCACACCGAUAUCGAAUCGAAACUUCCCGCGGGGAACAGACGAUUAACUCCUGUCGUUUGCCCAUACGGUUCAUAUCCCUUUGGUCAUUUUUAGUAUGGCCCCGCCGCAUUGCAUCGUCCCCCACGCCAUCGUCGAGACAGUCCUCGAUGUCAUCCAUGUUAUAAUGGUCUGAGAAUUCGUGCAAAGAUUCCUGGGAAGAACCUUUCGCUGAGAUUUGGUGAGCGGUGCCAUCUGUGGUGGCAGCCAUCGUUGUUGACUGAUCGAGCAAGGCGUAAGUAGGCUGUUUCCGAUACCACAUAUGUAGAUCAUGUAUGUAUGUACAAUAGAUCACGCUCCAGGGCGAUUGCCUCGAGGGACAGGAGGAAUACAGUGAACGAGGUCAGAAAAGUGAAGAACACAGAGUACAGGGCCAGUGCAGGGAAAUGUGUUGUGCGAGUUGUAUGCACGACACGCGACUGCUCCAGUCAUGAGAAAGGGUGUAUGUGAGAAACGAAACCAGGAAUGGAGAGAGCAAUGAAAAAUAUAGUACACCAAAUGAGAAAAAAUUCCCAG